CUUCAACGGAGAGUUUGAUCCUGGCUCAGGAUGAACGCUGGCGGCGUGCUUAACACAUGCAAGUCGA
rnacentral:rRNA from 2 species